rnacentral:piRNA from 2 species
UAGAAAAUACCCAGGAGUCUAGGUUUAAAG